UAUCAUUGAUUUCUUUGGCCUAAUUUCCCAAAUAUAAGGCUAAUUCUUGAAGUCUUGAUUAACAUGCUACUGCUUAUGGACAUUAUUAGCCUUUAUUAUAUUUGGUUUCCUUUUGCAAUAUUUUGUUAUUACCAUAAGUCUAGUUAUUUAUAAGCUAAAGAGCAAAUGAAAUUUGACUAGUUUUGAACUUGAAAUUGUCCAUGUUGAAUAUUUUCUCUUAAUCUCUGAUGUUCGGGUGAUAAACCUUGAAUGGGAUGGCGAGGAUAAUGGUUAAGAACAUUUUCUAAUUUUUGCUUGGAAAGCAAUUGAAGAAAAAACAAAAAAGGAGAAAAGGGAGGGUAAUAGAGAAUGGUAAGAUAUAUUGACUUUGGAAAAUUAAAUGAAAUUCAUUUCUCAUCCAUUUCAAACUUGGCCUAUUAUUGUCAAAAAUUAAAAGGAAAAGUGUUGUAAGUUAUAGUAAUGCUAGCGCAUGUGUUCUUAGGUGUCUACCUUUGACAUAGAGAUUCAACCAUUUUUUUAAAUGGGCCCAUGGUCAUCUUUGGCUCUUAAUCUUUUUCUCUAAUUAGAAAGGAAACUUCAUAAGCUGAGCAGUGGCAAUUUGCUGAUGACCCAAAGAAUAUGAUUUUAUGUUGGGAGUUGUUUGUUUUAGUUGGAUAAGCUAAACGAAAGUUGUUGUCUCCUUAAUAUGGACAUAUAGACUAUCUUGCACACUUGGUUUAUUUAGGGCAUUCCCUCUCCUUAUAGAUUCACAAUGUUAGUAAAAACUUUCUGAUUGUCUUUUGAAAAAUUGCUAAUCUUGUUUUGAAAAGUUUCUAAUUUUCUUUUGAAUUGAAUAAAACUCCAACUUGAUCCAUGAAUAAACUUGAUCUCAUCUUAGGCAUCAUUUGAUGCAUUUCUUGUUUUUAGUUGUGACCAAUUUGCCUUUUCAUGUCAAAUUGGCCCAUUUAUUUAACUGUAUCAAACUAACCCAUUUAUUUAGUCAUGUCAAAAUGACCUAUUUACUAAAUCAUGUGAAAACAAUUUGUUUACUCAAUCACAUCAAAACGACCCAUUUAUAUAAUUGCUUCAAAAUAAUCCAUUUACUUAAUAUUGUUAAUUAUCCGAUUACUUAAUCAUGUCAAAAUGAUUCGUUUACUUGAUCAUGUCAAAAUAAUCUGUUUACUUGAUCAUGUCAAAAUGACCUAUUUACCUAGGGGUCUCCAACGGUCGGGCCGGGCCGUAAAUAGGAGGCCUGCGGCCCAGCUCGGGCCGGGCCUAUGGGCCCGUUGACUGGUCAACGGGUCGGGCCGGGUCGGGCCAUGCUAAAAUGCUAGGUCCGCGGCUCGGCCUAUGAGCCCGCGGGCUGGCGGGUGGGUCAGGCCGGUGGGCUUUUUGAAUUAAGCCAAAAUGGCUUUCAAAAAAACCAAGGGAAGGGAGAGGGAGGGAUUCGAACCGCUCCCUUCAUGUUUAAACUUUAAGCUUCUAAUCAGCUAAACUACAUUCUUUUUAUGUUUAUUAAUUGAGUUAGUUAUAUAUAUAUAUAAAUAAAGUAUAUUAUUUUUAAAAAAAAAAUUAAAGGCUCCAACCCAUGUGAUCGUUGGAGCUAAGCCUCCAACGGUCACAUGGCCAAUUAUUUUGAAUUUUGAAUUUUUUUUUUUAACCUUCCUAUAAAUACAUUUUCUUCCUUUUCAUUUUUUCAUCAAAUUCUCUCUAUUUCUCUCACAUUCUACAAUAUUUCAAAUUCUUUUAUUUUUCCCUCAAAUUAUAUAAUAUUGUUGGUGGUGCAAAACAAGCAUUGGUGGCUCUAAGAGUUCAAAUUGUGGACCCUAGAUUGAAAUUUGAAGCUUUGGAUGAAUGGUUAACAAUUAUUUAUUUUAAUGACCAAAUAAAAAUUGAAGAAAUUAAAAAUGAAAUAAAUUCAUUAUUAUAUAAUUUAUAUAACUAUUAUAAAGAAAAAUAUGGUAAUGAUAUUAAUACUAUUAAAUUACCACCUACAUCUACAAACUCCUCAUCUUUUUAUAAAGAAGCUCUAGAAAUGUUGAAAAAUCGAAAAAAAACAACAAAUAGUUCUUCAAAUAAUACAUCUGAUUUAGAUAAAUAUCUUAAUACUGAUAUAAUUUCAUUUGAAGAUCAAAAAGAUUUUGAUAUUUUAAUAUGGUGGAAAUCACAUCAACACAAAUAUCUUGUGCUUUCUAUAAUUGCUCGUGAUGUACUAACAGUUCCUGUGUUUUUAGUGCAGGUGGAAGAGUUAUUAGUAAAAAACGAUGCAACUUAGCGUCAGACGUUAUUGAAGCAGGGAUAUGUGUAAAAGAUUGGGAAAUAGCAGAUAAAAGGAUGUACGAUUCCAUUCGAGAAACAGAGAUGCUUGCCAAUAUGGAAUCUUUAAAACUAUCAAGAUCUUCAUGGAUGCAUGAUAGUUCGCCAUCACCGCCAGAAAAUAAUGACUAAAUGUAUAUUAUAUUUUUAUUUUUAUUUUUUGUAGUUGAAAAAUACAGAUGAUUGACAAAUAAAUAGGUGUCAACCUAGUUGGGAUGUAUUUAUUUUGUAGUGAUGUAAAUUUUUCCCAUAUUUUCAAAUGUAAUUAUACAUUUAAUGAAUAAAAUUUUGAAAUGAAUAUUUUUUUUAAUACUUUUUAUUUUUGUAGUCUUUUUUUAAAGGGAAAGGCCUACGGGUCGGGCCGGCCCGUCGGGCCUAAUUUCGGCCCACCCAGAAACGGGCUUGAGCCAGACAGGCUUGGGCCGGGCCGGGCCUAAAGCGGGCCACGGGCUUUUUGAAGACCCUUGUAUUUACCAGAUCAUGUCAAAAUGACCUCUUUACUUAAAUCAUGUUAAAAAGAUCCAUUUAGUUAUUUGUGUCUAAAUGAUCCAUUUAUUAUCGAAUCCAUUUAGGACCAAUUUAACCCAUAUAAAUUUAGUAAUUUUAUAUAUUUAAAAAUUAUUAAUAUUUAUUUAUUUAUUUAUUUAUUGCUAGUUUUUG
rnacentral:lncRNA from 1 species